AUAGGGGAGCCGGAGGGAAACCGAGUCUUAAUUGGGCGUUAAGUUGCAGGGUAUAGACCCGAAACCCGGUGAUCUAGCCAUGGGCAGGUUGAAGGUUGGGUAACACUAACUGGAGGACCGAACCGACUAAUGUUGAAAAAUUAGCGGAUGACCUGUGGCUGGGGGUGAAAGGCCAAUCAAACCGGGAGAUAGCUGGUUCUCCCCGAAAGCUAUUUAGGUAGCGCCUCGUGAAUUCAUCUCCGGGGGUAGAGCACUGUUUCGGCUAGGGGGCCAUCCCGGCUUACCAACCCGAUGCAAACUGCGAAUACCGGAGAAUGUUAUCACGGGAGACACACGGCGGGUGCUAACGUCCGUCGUGAAGAGGGAAACAACCCAGACCGCCAGCUAAGGUCCCAAAGUCAUGGUUAAGUGGGAAACGAUGUGGGAAGGCCCAGACAGCCAGGAUGUUGGCUUAGAAGCAGCCAUCAUUUAAAGAAAGCGUAAUAGCUCACUGGUCGAGUCGGCCUGCGCGGAAGAUGUAACGGGGCUAAACCAUGCACCGAAGCUGCGGCAGCGANNNNNNNNNNUGCUGGAGGUAUCAGAAGUGCGAAUGCUGACAUAAGUAACGAUAAAGCGGGUGAAAAGCCCGCUCGCCGGAAGACCAAGGGUUCCUGUCCAACGUUAAUCGGGGCAGGGUGAGUCGACCCCUAAGGCGAGGCCGAAAGGCGUAGUCGAUGGGAAACGGGUUAAUAUUCCCGUACUUGGUGUUACUGCGAAGGGGGGACGGAGAAGGCUAUGUUGGCCGGGCGACGGUUGUCCCGGUUUAAGCGUGUAGGUGUGUGUUCCAGGUAAAUCCGGUUCACUUUAACACUGAGGCGUGACGACGAGGCACUACGGUGCUGAAGCAACAAAUGCCCUGCUUCCAGGAAAAGCCUCUAAGCAUCAGGUAACACGAAAUCGUACCCCAAACCGACACAGGUGGUCAGGUAGAGAAUACCAAGGCGCUUGAGAGAACUCGGGUGAAGGAACUAGGCAAAAUGGUGCCGUAACUUCGGGAGAAGGCACGCUGACACGUAGGUGAAGUGAUUUACUCACGGAGCUGAAGUCAGUCGAAGAUACCAGCUGGCUGCAACUGUUUAUUAAAAACACAGCACUGUGCAAACACGAAAGUGGACGUAUACGGUGUGACGCCUGCCCGGUGCCGGAAGGUUAAUUGAUGGGGUCAGCGUAAGCGAAGCUCCUGAUCGAAGCCCCGGUAAACGGCGGCCGUAACUAUAACGGUCCUAAGGUAGCGAAAUUCCUUGUCGGGUAAGUUCCGACCUGCACGAAUGGCGUAAUGAUGGCCAGGCUGUCUCCACCCGAGACUCAGUGAAAUUGAACUCGCUGUGAAGAUGCAGUGUACCCGCGGCAAGACGGAAAGACCCCGUGAACCUUUACUAUAGCUUGACACUGAACAUUGAGCCUUGAUGUGUAGGAUAGGUGGGAGGCUUUGAAGUGUGGACGCCAGUCUGCAUGGAGCCGACCUUGAAAUACCACCCUUUAAUGUUUGAUGUUCUAACGUGGACCCGUAAUCCGGGUUGCGGACAGUGUCUGGUGGGUAGUUUGACUGGGGCGGUCUCCUCCUAAAGAGUAACGGAGGAGCACGAAGGUUGGCUAAUCCUGGUCGGACAUCAGGAGGUUAGUGCAAUGGCAUAAGCCAGCUUGACUGCGAGCGUGACGGCGCGAGCAGGUGCGAAAGCAGGUCAUAGUGAUCCGGUGGUUCUGAAUGGAAGGGCCAUCGCUCAACGGAUAAAAGGUACUCCGGGGAUAACAGGCUGAUACCGCCCAAGAGUUCAUAUCGACGGCGGUGUUUGGCACCUCGAUGUCGGCUCAUCACAUCCUGGGGCUGAAGUAGGUCCCAAGGGUAUGGCUGUUCGCCAUUUAAAGUGGUACGCGAGCUGGGUUUAGAACGUCGUGAGACAGUUCGGUCCCUAUCUGCCGUGGGCGCUGGAGAACUGAGGGGGGCUGCUCCUAGUACGAGAGGACCGGAGUGGACGCAUCACUGGUGUUCGGGUUGUCAUGCCAAUGGCACUGCCCGGUAGCUAAAUGCGGAAGAGAUAAGUGCUGAAAGCAUCUAAGCACGAAACUUGCCCCGAGAUGAGUUCUCCCUGAGACUUAGAGUCUCCUGAAGGAACGUUGAAGACGACGACGUUGAUAGGCCGGGUGUGUAAGCGCAGCGAUGCGUUGAGCUAACCGGUACUAAUGAACCGUGAGGCUUAACC
rnacentral:rRNA from 1 species